rnacentral:rRNA from 1 species
ACCCGUUGAUCCUGCGGGAGGUUGCUGCUAUUAGGGUUCGACUAAGCCAUGCAAGUUUAGGGGCUUUCUUCGGAAAGCACCGGCAAAAUGCUCAGUAACACGUCGAUAAUCUAACUUUAGGUUCGGGAUAACCUUGGAAAACUGAGGCUAAUACCGAAUAUGAGAUAAUAUCUGGAAUGAUUCUUCUCUUAAAAGCAAUGCCUAAAGAUGAGUCGGCGGUGGAUUAGGUAGUUGGUGGGGUAAAGGCCCACCAAGCCGAAGAUCCGUAGGGGCCUUGAGAGAGGUAGCCCCGAGAAGGGUACUGAAACACUGACCCUAGCCCCACGGGGUGCAGCAGGCGCGGAACCUCUACAAUGCACGAAAGUGUGAUAGGGGGACCCUAAGUGCUUAGCUUACGCUAGGCUUUUGCCAAAAAUAAAUACUUUGGCGAAUAAGUGGUGGGAAAGACUGGUGCCAGCAGCCGCGGUAACACCAGCGCCACAAGUGGCAAUCACAUUUAUUGGGCCUAAAGCGUCCGUAGCCGGUUUGAUAAAUCUUCUGUGAAAUUGGUAAGCCUAACUUAUCAGCGUGCAGAAGAAACUGUCAGACUUGGAACCGGGAGGGGUUUGGAGUAUUUUUGGGGGAGCGGUAAAAUGCUAUAAUCCCAAAAAGACUGCCUGUGGCGUAGGCGCCAAACCAGAACGGAUUCGACGGUGAGGGACGAAAGCUAGGGGAGCAAACCGGAUUAGAUACCCGCGUAGUCCUAGCUGUAAACUCUGCGAGCCAGGUGUUGCACAUUCUUCGUGGAUGUGCAGUGUCGAAGAGAAGUCGUUAAGCUCGCCGCCUGGGAAGUAUAGUCGCAAGGCCGAAACUUAAAGGAAUUGGCGGGGGAGCACCACAAGGGGUGCGGCGUGCGGUUUAAUCUAAUUCAACGCAGAAAAUCUCACCAGAGGCGACGGCAGGAUGAAAGUCAGGCUAAAGACCUUACUUGACGAGCCGAGAGGUAGUGCAUGGCCGCCGUCAGCUCGUGCCGUAAGGUGUCCUGUUAAGUCAGGCAACGAGCGAGACCUGUGCUUACAAUUGCUAACAACUCUAUCAGAGGAUUGAGCACAUUGUAGGAACUGCCCGUGAAAAUGGGAGGAAGGUGCAGGCUACGGUAGGUCUGUAUGCUCCGAAUCCUCUGGGCUACACGCGCGCAACAAUGGUAUGGACAAUGGGAUGCAACUCCGAGAGGAGAAGCUAAACCUCUAAACCAUAUCUAAGUUCAGAUUGAGGGCUGUAACUCGCCCUCAUGACGAUGGAAUCCCUAGUAAUCGGACGUCAACAUCGUCCGGUGAAUAUGUCCCUGCUCCUUGCACACACCGCCCGUCAAACCAACCGAGCAGGGUUUAGGUGAGUAUUAGGCAUUUUACCUGAUCCGAAUCUAAGCUCAGUGAGGUGGGUUAAGUCGUCACAAGGUA